AGUUUUCGAUCAGAAUCAACUUCUCUGCUGGGUAGCGGUACAACAUGGAAUGCAGCUGCUCAACCAGUGGCAAGUGAUUGGCCACCACUGAAGCAACAAAAUCUCUGCACAUUAAAAGAUAAGAUUCGUCGACAGCGCAGGCCACGUCAAAGCAUGGUGGUCGGUAAAGCGAUUGGUAAUCCUUGUAAUCUUGAGGAGGAUAUCGAUUAAGUUUCCGGUUGAGGAUUCUCGUUUGUGGUUGGUCACCGUCAUCAUUUUGGUUUUCUACAAGGUGUGAUUUACACGCUUUACCAUAUACGUUUGGAGAUAAAAUCGAAAGUUUUGUACGGGAGUACUUGUCAAAUUCUGCUGAUGAAACAUAUGUGGAAAGAUGACCAAGAGAAGAAACCAAACCAGUCGCCACAUGGUUCGAAUAAACUAAAAACUAAUGGUCCAAUAAAACCGGUAUGAAUCGUUUGCCACAGAGAUGAGAUACUGAACCCUUGCGCUUCUAGAGUUCUCAGUUACAUACUCCCAAAGUUGAAAGAGAAAAAAAGGAUCUAAACUUUCUCCCCUGGUUCUAAUGUGGAACUUCCUCCAGUUGUUUCGGGACGAAAAAGAGACGCCCUAAUGUUCAGUCGUUUGGAACGUUCUUUUCUCAUCCAUCCUUUUCCAGGUCACUAUUGUACUGCUACUAUUGGAAGAAAAGACAACGUGUACCGAGUCCUUAUGAUAGUGUUUUCCUUAACACGAGUUUGACAUCCGGCGAAAGUUAUGCAUUCCAAAACCGCUAGGUGUCGACGUCUUUUCCCGUUGGCCGCCACUAAUUCAAUCAACUUGGUCUCCGCGAGACGGUCUCGAAGGGUCGAGACCGUCACCCGUACAUCCCAGUGGGACUAUCCCGGCCCUCUGAUUGGCUCUCUUCACCCUUACAUCCUUCUAUGUCUUUCUGCUUUCCGCUCCCACAUUUUCCUGAUGUACACAGUGUGGUUUUCCGUGGGGCUGCCGCUUUGAUUUGUUUGUUUCUUUCGUGUAUUUUUAUUAUUUACAUUUAUUGUUUGUUCUUU